rnacentral:rRNA from 1 species
GAUGAACGCUGGCGGCGUGCCUAAUACAUGCAAGUAGAACGCUGAAGGAGGAGCUUGCUCUUAUGGAUGAGUUGCGAACGGGUGAGUAACGCGUAGGUAACCUGCCUGGUAGCGGGGGAUAACUAUUGGAAACGAUAGCUAAUACCGCAUGACAACAGUUAUUGCAUGAUAACUGUUUAAAAGGGGCAACUGCUCCACUACCAGAUGGACCUGCGUUGUAUUAGCUAGUUGGUGAGGUAACGGCUCACCAAGGCGACGAUACAUAGCCGACCUGAGAGGGUGAUCGGCCACACUGGGACUGAGACACGGCCCAGACUCCUACGGGAGGCAGCAGUAGGGAAUCUUCGGCAAUGGACGGAAGUCUGACCGAGCAACGCCGCGUGAGUGAAGAAGGUUUUCGGAUCGUAAAGCUCUGUUGUAAGAGAAGAACGAGUGUGAGAGUGGAAAGUUCACACUGUGACGGUAUCUUACCAGAAAGGGACGGCUAACUACGUG